UGUUCUGUGGCUUAGUUGGUUAAAGCGCUGGUCUAGUGAAUACGGUGUUGAGAGUUCGAAUCCCAUCAGAACGC
rfam:Aedes albopictus isolate Foshan contig75159, whole genome shotgun sequence.